UGGGGAAUUUUGGACAAUGGGGGAAACCCUGAUCCAGCCAUGCCGCGUGAGUGAAGAAGGCCUUCGGGUUGUAAAGCUCUUUUGGUCGGGAAGAAAGGGUUCUCUUGAAUACGGAGGACUUUUGACGGUACCGGCAGAAUAAGCACCGGCUAACUACGUGCCAGCAGCCGCGGUAAUACGUAGGGUGCGAGCGUUAAUCGGAAUUACUGGGCGUAAAGAGUGCGUAGGCGGUUCGUUAUGUCUGCUGUGAAAGCCCCGGGCUUAACCCGGGAAUGGCAGUGGAAACUGGCGGGCUUGAGUGUGGCAGAGGGGGGUGGAAUUCCGCGUGUAGCAGUGAAAUGCGUAGAGAUGCGGAGGAACACCGAUGGCGAAGGCAGCCCCCUGGGCUAACACUGACGCUGAGGCACGAAAGCGUGGGGAGCAAACAG
rnacentral:rRNA from 1 species